UUCGCCCUUAGAGUUUGAUCCUGGCUCAGGAUGAACGCUGGCGGCGUGCCUAACACAUGCAAGUCGAGCGAUGAAGCUUGAAGGAAUUCUUCGGAAUGAAAACAAGUGGAUUAGCGGCGGACGGGUGAGUAACGCGUGGGCAACCUGCCUUAUACUAGAGGAUAGCUCCUGGAAACGGGUGGUAAUACUCUAUAAGCUUACGACAAGACAUCUUGAUGUAAGAAAAGGUUUACUGGUAUAAGAGGGGCCCGCGUCUGAUUAGAUAGUUGGUGGGGUAACGGCCUACCAAGUCAACGAUCAGUAGCCGACCUGAGAGGGUGAUCGGCCACAUUGGAACUGAGACACGGUCCAGACUCCUACGGGAGGCAGCAGUGGGGAAUAUUGCACAAUGGGGGAAACCCUGAUGCAGCGACGCCGCGUGAGUGAAGAAGUAUUUCGGUAUGUAAAGCUCUAUCAGCAGGGAAGAUAAUGACGGUACCUGACUAAGAAGCUCCGGCUAAAUACGUGCCAGCAGCCGCGGUAAUACGUAUGGAGCAAGCGUUAUCCGGAUUUACUGGGUGUAAAGGGUGCGUAGGCGGCAAGGCAAGUCAGAUGUGAAAGACCGGGGCUCAACUCCGGGGCUGCAUUUGAAACUGUUUUGCUGGAGUCCAGGAGAGGCAGGCGGAAUUCCUAGUGUAGCGGUGAAAUGCGUAGAUAUUAGGAGGAACACCAGUGGCGAAGGCGGCCUACUGGGCUUUAACUGACGCUGAGGCACGAAAGUGUGGGUAGCAAACAGGAUUAGAUACCCUGGUAGUCCACACUGUAAACGAUGAAACUAGGUGUGGGGGGUCUAACCCCCUCCGUGCCGGAGUUAACACAAAUAAGUAAUCCACCUGGGGAGUACGACCGCAAGGUUGAAACUCAAAGGAAUUGACGGGGGGCCCGCACAAGCAGUGGAGUAUGUGGUUUAAUUCGACGCAACGCGAAGAACCUUACCAGGUCUUGACAUCCAACUAACGAAGCAGAGAUGCAUUAGGUGCCCUUCGGGGAAAGUUGAGACAGGUGGUGCAUGGUUGUCGUCAGCUCGUGUCGUGAGAUGUUGGGUUAAGUCCCGCAACGAGCGCAACCCUUGUGAUUAGUUGCUACGCAAGAGCACUCUAAUCAGACUGCCGUUGACAAAACGGAGGAAGGUGGGGACGACGUCAAAUCAUCAUGCCCUUUAUGACCUGGGCUACACACGUACUACAAUGGUCGUUAACAGAGGGAAGCAAUACCGCGAGGUGGAGCAAAACCCUAAAAACGGUCUCAGUUCAGAUUGUAGGCUGCAACUCGCCUACAUGAAGUUGGAAUUGCUAGUAAUCGCGGAUCAGCAUGCCGCGGUGAAAACGUUCCCGGGCCUUGCACACACCGCCCGUCA
rnacentral:rRNA from 1 species